UACAGAGGGUGCGAGCGUUAAUCGGAUUUACUGGGCGUAAAGGGCGCGUAGGUGGUUAUGUAAGUGAGAUGUGAAAUCCCCGGGCUCAACCUGGGAACUGCAUCUUAUACUGCAUAGCUGGAGUACAUGAGAGGGUAGUGGAAUUUCCGGUGUAGCGGUGAAAUGCGUAGAUAUCGGAAGGAACACCAGUGGCGAAGGCGGCUACCUGGCAUGAUACUGACACUGAGGCGCGAGAGCGUGGGGAGCAAACAGG
rnacentral:rRNA from 2 species